GAAGGCUCCAAGCGUUAUCCGGAUUUAUUGGGCGUAAAGCGUGCGCAGGCGGUUUUGCGCGUCUCGCGUUAAAUGUCUCAGCUUAACUGGGUCACCGCGUGGGAUACGGCAUAACUAGAGCGUGUGAGAGGUGACUAGAAUUCACGGUGUAGGGGUGAAAUCCGUUGAUAUCGUGGAGAAUACCAAAGGCGAAGGCAUGUCACUGGCACACUGCUGACACUCAGGCACGAAAGCGUGGGGAGCAAAAAGGAUUAGAUACCCUUGUAGUCCACGCCCUAAACGAUGCCGACUAGCUGUUUCGAGUAUCGACCCUCGGAGUGGCGUAGCUAACGCGUUAAGUCGGCCGCCUGGGAAGUACGAUCGCAAGAUUA
rnacentral:rRNA from 1 species